rnacentral:antisense_RNA from 1 species
CCAGUAAAUCGGCCUCGCCGAAAUACUCACCGUCGCCUAACAGGGCUAUCCUCAAAUCCUCACCGUGAGGACCUUUGCUGAUGACCUCAGCCUGUCCGCUGGCCACGAUGAAGAAGCGCUGCUUGUCCUUGCCCUCCUCCACGAAGAACUUAUCCACAUCGACCUCUUUGGCCUCGAACGAACUGACCAAACGGUUCAGUAUCUCGUCGUCAAAUUCGGAGAACAGGGGGAUAGCCUUGAGGUCCUUCGCCGUAAACGAUGGUACGCCAUUGACAUACUGGAUGGGAAGACGGUCGUUCUUACGAAGUUCAACCUUCGUACGGUUCACGCGGAACGUGCCGCCGCUGACUUGUACCCAGGGUAAUAACUUCAGAAGUAAUCUCGGGGUUAUCGAGCCCAUCUGCGGGGCGGUCUUGGUGGUGGUUGCCAGUCUUCUGGCUGUUGCUGUAGUUACAC